AACCACACAAAACACUGCAAAGCCAGCUUCAUCGGAUUGCCUGUCCUGAAUUUUGCUUGGGAAUCUACCUGAAGCUCUGCAUCUCAUCCCUUGUCAACUCCUGCUUGUCUUAGCUGCAUGGGAACUAACCUCUGGGACCCUCCUUUCUGGAGAACCUUCUUACGUCUCCUUGUCUUGUCCUGAUGCCUCUAAAGCUUCAACCCUGGGAGCCCAUCUUGAACUCUGGAAUUUUACCAGGAAAGCUUAGAUUAAAUGUACCUGGAAAGAGUUCAUUCUGCAGAAGAACUGGCUGCUCUCCAAGAGAGGUGGAGCAGCUCUACUCAGUAACCUGCUCAACUCAAGCAGCUUUGUUAGCAGUCUGCCUACGCUGUAGUUGAC
rnacentral:lncRNA from 1 species